CAAAGAUUGAUGAGAUCAACCAAAGAAAAGAAGAAGAGCUGAAGGCCACAAACAUCCGCAUCCAGAAACUCCAGUCAGACGUCCUGGCAGCCAAUCAGGUGACAGGUGAGCUGAGGGAGCAGCUGCAGAGCAAAGAGAAAGAACAUGAACUGGCUCUGCACACACUGAGAGACCAGGUAGCCAAUCAGAGUGCAGUGAGUCAGGAGCAGGUGGACAGCAUCCUGCAGGAGAACGAUGCUCUGAGGACAAACCUAGCUGCUCUAGAACAGGUAACAAACCUGGAGAACCUGAUCUAGAAGUCUAACCCCGAAACACACUCCUGUGCACUAACUUCAAUAAAUACAGCUAAAGGGUUUCUAUGUAAUGUUCUCCACUAACACUAUAUCCUCUAGAGCAGUGCUUCUCAAAUAGGGAUACGCGGACCC